CGUACAUAUAUAUAUAUCACUAGCGGAACCGAACAUACCCGAACAGCCGAAGUUACACGAAGUGCCAGUGCUCUCCCCUUACCGCUAAUCUCAGCUUCCCCUCGUAAAAGGCUCCGUCCAUAUAUUCCUAUGUCAAUGAUUUCACCACGAUGAUAGCGCAGUGACAUGUUUUCAGUGUAAAGAACUGUUUUAGCGGUAAUAACAAAUAAGUAUAUAGAUCUUCCUUUAUACAUUAAAAUCGCUACGCUUCAAAAUGCAGACAAUAUUUAAAAGGAGACUCGACAUCCUAUUCCUUCAAGUAGUUUUAAGUGGUAUUAUAUUCACUACUGUGAUAACAUCUAUACAAGCGGAACAUCGAAUCGAAAAUAAAACAAGAAAACUUGGUUAUCGUUUACCAAACGAUGUAGUGCCACAACACUAUAUAUCAAAAUAAUGUUUUCUCAAAGGAUGCUCUAUUUUGAAGCCGAAUGCAAAAUUGUUAUUUAAAUUCAAAGUUCAACAUCAAAUAUAAGUUUACACAGUCACGACACAAUCAAACUUGAGAAAGACAAAAUAAAAUUGAUUAUGCAGAAUGGUAAGGCGUAUGAACGCAUUAAUAGUACGUACUACAGUCACGAGAACAUUCUAGACCUCUAUUUCGAACACCAGCUAUUUCCUGGAACUUACACUCUGUUUAUACCCUACGAGAUAUAUACUCAUCUUGAUGAAGAGGAGGAGGAACUAGGUUUUUUAAAAUGUUUAUUUCAGCAUAAUCCACGACUGAAACAGUGAGUUAACAUUUAAUGAGUACUCCUACACUGAGAUCAAUUUUCAUCGAAUACAUCGAUUAAAUAGUUUUCCGAUUGUUAUUUUUGUUUUCCGAUUAAAUGAUGGAUGUGUUCGAUCAUUUUCUUUGUCUUUUAUACAAUUUAAUCGGAUAUCCGUUUGUUACUAUAAAAUAUAAUAUCUUAAUAUUCAUUAAUAUAAAAUACACAUUAAUAUACAAUAAUAAUUAUUAUGUAUUAUAUAUUAUAGGGAGACAAAUAAUUUUGAGCGACCGUCUAAUGGGAUAAUACGCGAUAACAUUAAUAUGUUAAAUAUUAGACACUCCUUUCAAAUUACUAUCUAGAAUAACACGUAAUAAUAAGCUAAACGGUGUCCUAUAAAUAAAGCACUAUAUGCUUGCUCAACUUGAUAAUUGAUACUAUUCAAAACAAUAUUUUGACAAUUCGUAUUAUAUGAGGAUUGUCCUUAAAACAGGUAUAAAGUGUUGGCAACAAAUAUUCAAUCUAUUGAAGCUCGAAAAUGGUUUCCGUGUUGGGACGAGCCGGAAUUUAAAACAACAUUUCAAAUUCAUUUCCAUCAUAACGUAAAGUAAACUAUCAGAUAUGGGCAACCUUGUCAACUGAAAGAUAUACACUAGAUGAUAAUAAACAAAACUGGAUGUGGACAAAUUUUAACAUUUCAUACCCAAUAUCAACUUAUCAAGUGAUGUUUACACUAACUGAUUUAGAUCUUGAAUAUCACAAGGUUGUGUAUCAUCCUACAAUGGAACUUUUGAACACAAAUCUGUUUUGUCCGAUAUGGAGUAGAUCUAAGGUGGAAAAGUUUAUUAAACCCUCAGGUGUUAUGAGUGAGUAUAUUCUACAUUCUGACUGGUACCGCAAAAUUUCUAAAACUGUCACGUGUAUAGAGCAACUUGCAAUUCCGACUAUGCCAGUGGAUGUCAUGGCAAAAUGGAGGCUCAUUCUUUAUAAAGAAUCGCUUGUCACUUAUAAUGAAGAAACAGAUAGCAGUGCUCAGGAAAGAGAGCUAGCACACACAGUAGCACAUGGAAUGGUACAUCAGGUGAUAGAUAGUGCAAUCACACCAUCGUGGUGGUCUCACUUAUGGUUGAAUGAAGGGUUUGCCGCUCUUCUUCAUGUGGAAAUUCUGGAUGAGAUUUUUCUGAAAUGGAAAUUUGUGGAUUUGUUCGUGGUUCAAGUUCAGCAAGACUGUCUUCAUCUCGAUACAGAUUUCACUAUGAAACCUCUUUCGUAUGAAGUCCGAACACCAUCAGAAAUUAAAUCACUUUUCUCUUUCCCAAUUUAUAUCAAAGCACCUGUCAUAUUGCUCAUGAUACAACAUAUUAUGGGCAAGGAGUUUCAAGAUAUUAUCAAGAAUUACACGAACACUUACUUUCGUAAGUCUCCUACGCCCGAUGAUUUAUGGAAUAUGAUGCAAGUUAACUUAGAUAAUCCAGAACUAGGUAAUCCUACCAUGAAAGAUAUAAUGGAGAACUGGGUAAGAGAAAAUAAUUAUCCUAUUGUAAAUGUUCGUCGAACUGAACUUACGCUGGAAAUAUCUCAAGAUGAAUGCAUCAAUGAACACUAUCAGCAAAAAGCACUUCAAUGGAUACCUAUCACUUUCACUACAUGGGAACAGUUAGACUUCGAUAAUACGACUCCUCAUCACUGGAUACCUCCAAAGGAUAGCACAAAGUAUAAUAUAUCUAUCUCACUUACUAAUAAGAAUGGAUGGAUCAUACUAAAUUUACAACAAACAGGAUACUAUCGUGUAAAGUACGAUAACAAGAGCUUAAAUGCAAUUACAUACUAUUUAAGGUUUUUGAAAUAUAUUGAUAUUCAUGUUCUUAAUCGCGCUCAACUCAUUGAUGAUACAUAUUAUUUCUUGAAGAGAGGAGAAGUUACAUAUGACAGGUUUUUACGUCUCAUAAACUAUUUGCGCGAAGAGAGGGAUUAAGUAGCAUGGUAUCCAAUGUUUCAAAUUUUUAGAGACAUCGCAUUUCUUACCAUUUGAAGAGAGCAAAACUUUAAAGUGUUUGGAUAUUACAUGAAUAAUUAAUAUCAAGAGAAUAUCGAAAUAUAUGCAUUAAUAUCAAUUACAAUGUGCAAAAACCGUAAGUAAAACUAACAGUGCAGAAAAUGUGUAACGUUAAUACGUACCUGUUUUAUACGUGUUACAUACAUAGAUUAAAACAUGUCGUAAAAUUAUAAAUGAUGUAGGAAGAUAUUUGUGUCAUACAUGUAUAGCCUGUAUGCUGUAUAUGGAAUAUACUACCAAUUCAACUGAACAAAUGCAAAAAAGUUUGGAGUUAUAUAUUGUUUAUUGAAAUAAUAAAGGAUUAAUAACUUUCCAUAUUUACUUUUAUAAAGAACAAAACAUUUAUAUGAUGGUCAUAUCAUUUUUAACAACUUUUAUAGGAAGAUAUGCGGUUGAUUUUGAAAGGUUUGCUCGAAAACAUAUACAAAGAAAAGUCCCAGGAAGACGAUCUUACUAAGUGGUUGGCCAAGAGGCUGUAAGAUGGGCAUGUAUUUUUGGUAAUACAGAGUGUCAAGAAAUUGCGAAUGCUAGAUUGAAGGAAUACCUACAAGAUUCCUACAUAAUGCAGCACAAGUAAUUCCUGCAAUUACAUUCUUUCUGUGGUGGUAUUUCUCUUGUAUAAUACAUGAAAUUCGAGACAAUUAAUAGUCGCAAAUGCGGAAGUUUUUGAAAAAAGCAUUAACUGUUUGUUAAAUCGUAUAUGUAUAAUGAUUAUAUUAUGGUUUGUGCAAAAUUUUCUACAGAUUUUCGCCGGAAUGGAGAGAAUGGGCGUAUUGUAAAGGUGCGAUGAUAGCGAAUGCGAGUCUUUUGUAGAAAUUGGUGGAAUUGUUAUACACAAAUAAACCUAAAAACUUUAAUUAUAUUUCGUGUGCUGCAAAAUCCGAUGCUGCUAUAUACAUUUUGUUUAAUUUUUAUCUUGGCAAGAAAGACAGCAGUUCCAAUCUUUUUCCUUAUUUCAUGUUUGAUGUUUAUGCAGUAAGACUUAUAGGCAUCCGUGCGACACUAUAUUUUGACACGCACAAGUAAUAAAAUUAUUUUUAUAAAUUGCUCUUUCAAAAGUAUUGUAAGUUUCUUUACCAGUAUAAUAUAACUUCGAAUCUAUUAAUUCAGUCGUUUGCAGUGUUUCAGAUUCCGACAAAGUCAAACUAUUAUGUAUUAUUAUAAAUCGUUCAUUUUCUAAAGAUGAAAUUUAUGAGAUACGAAUACGCACAGUAUAAAAAGUAAUGUCUUGUUAUCGUACUUGUAUUAAAAAUGUUAGUUAUGACUGGAUUUUGGCACAAACUGGUGUACAAAAUUUGUUGAUAUUGUGGUAGUUCGUUACUUGUAACUAUUUCUUUACAUAAAAAUUUUUAUUUAGAACAUGAAAUUUGUUUUAGAUAAGCAAAAUCAAGAAUGAUUAUUUUAAAGACUCAGAAAUAGAUGAAAAUCUUAAUAGCGUUGUCGAAAGACGCAUCCGUCAAAUCAAGUACCAAAAAGAGAGAGUUAUAAAUUUAAUAGACAAACUAAUUGCUUAAAUAUGUCAGGGAGAGAUAAAGCAAUGUGUUUAUGCAAUUGUAUUAUAAAAAUGUUGAGGCAUUUGCUUAUAAUUAGAUAGUGUUUAACGAAUUUAUUUAAUAUGAAUUAUUCAAUGUGUUUACUUGUGUACAUUAAAUUUAUAUUUUAAUAC